GCCUGGAUGGCUCAGUCAUUAAGCACCUGACUUGAGCUCAGGUCUUGAUCUCAUGGUUUGUGAGUUUGAGUCCCACAUUGGGCA
rnacentral:tRNA from 1 species